rnacentral:rRNA from 1 species
AGCGAACGCUGGCGGCAGGCCUAACACAUGCAAGUCGAGCGCCCCGCAAGGGGAGCGGCAGACGGGUGAGUAACGCGUGGGAACGUGCCCUUCAGUUCGGAAUAACCCAGGGAAACUUGGGCUAAUACCGAAUACGUCCGUAAGGAGAAAGAUUUAUCGCUGAAGGAUCGGCCCGCGUAAGAUUAGCUAGUUGGUGAGGUAACGGCUCACCAAGGCAAUGAUCUUUAGCUGUUCUGAGAGGAAGAUCAGCCACACUGGGACUGAGACACGGCCCAGACUCCUACGGGAGGCAGCAGUGGGGAAUAUUGGACAAUGGGCGCAAGCCUGAUCCAGCCAUGCCGCGUGAGUGAUGAAGGCCUUAGGGUUGUAAAGCUCUUUUACCAGGGAAGAUAAUGACGGUACCUGGAGAAUAAGCCCCGGCUAACUUCGUGCCAGCAGCCGCGGUAAUAC